UCUUUAGUCUGAAGAAUGUUUUGUGGUGUACUUGAAUCUGUGCUUCGCGAGUCAGCUGCUUUUGCGCUUAUAUUGAAUUUGGUGACUGAGCUACUGGCGGUGGCAUUAUCAGGAAUCGUAUUAACACUCUCCAUAUCCGCUGCUCUGGAUCAAUGACUAGCAUUUUACUAAGAAGAUUUCUAGCGUCAGAAGCCUUCCUGCGGCUAUUCUGAUUAUUAUCAUUUGGAAACAAGCCAUCGGGGAAAAGUCUAUCAAAUGAGUAUCCAGUGUAUCUAGGACGAUUUUCCACAUAGUUUCGGACGGUUGGCUGUAACCGCUGCAUAAAUGAGGGAGAUGGUGUACCUAAUUGCUCUGAAACGAAAAAUGCUGACGGUCAUAACGAGAAUCAAGCCUAACGAAACAGCACACCGCCCCUUAUCAUUUCGCCCAUGAUGCACCCAACGGACCAUAUGUCCACGUUCUCGGUGUACCCCAUGCCCAAAAUGACCUCCGGAGCCCUGUAGUAUCGGGUGACCACAUAGGGAGUCAUCAUGAAGGU